rnacentral:misc_RNA from 1 species
AACGCACAUUGCGCCCUGUGGUAUUCCGCAGGGCAUGCCUGUUCGAGCGUCAUUAUAACCACUCAAGCCUGGCUUGGUAUUGGGGUUUGCGGUUCAGCAGCUCCUAAAAUCAGUGGCGGUGCCGGUGUGGCUCUACGCGUAGUAAUUCUUCUCGCGAUGGAGUUCCCCUGGUUGCUUGCCAGAACCCCCCAAUUUUUAUCAGGUUGACCUCGGAUCAGGUAGGGAUACCCGCUGAACUUAA